UACGAAGGGGGCUAGCGUUGUUCGGAUUUACUGGGCGUAAAGCGCACGUAGGCGGAUCGUUAAGUCGGGGGUGAAAUCCUGGAGCUCAACUCCAGAACUGCCUUCGAUACUGGCGAUCUAGGGUCCGGAAGAGGUGAGUGGAACUCCUAGUGUAGAGGUGGAAUUCGUAGAUAUUAGGAAGAACACCAGUGGCGAAGGCGGCUCACUGGCCCGGUACUGACGCUGAGGUGCGAAAGCGUGGGGAGCAAACAGGAGUUAGAUAUCCAGGUACUUCCCGAGG
rnacentral:rRNA from 1 species